rnacentral:lncRNA from 1 species
CGCAUGCGUCGGAGCGCACUGCAGCGCUCCUGGAGAUGUUGUGGAUUUGUGGCAUCAGCGCAGAGGCUGCUAGCGUAGCAGAUUUCGUACAUGGUGUUCAUUGCAGUUAACUCAAGGCUACUGCCACCCAGGCACGUCUCUCUGUCCAGCCGCUCCCUCCACAUUCUCCAGCAGUAAGGAUUUUUGCUACGACACUCGCUUCAGCAAGAGAUCUGGUGCUUAGAACCCUAGCUGUCUGGCUUUGAACUUGAGCUGUACCAGAGGAUGACUGACAUAUGCCAUGCUUCUGCUCAAGUGCUGGAAUUACAGAGAAUGCAGUCAGAAAUUAUGCUGCUUGUGAAGAGAUACAUUGAGCCUUUUGGUCCAGUGAAGUUAUUAAGAAUGUGAUUUAAAAUUGUGAUAAAAUCUGGAUUGUCCUACUCAAGAUUUGCCAGCACACCAGGAUGAAUCAAUUGUUUCCAUGGAUAGACACCUUUGGGAGACAGUUGGAAAGCCUUGGUAAGUUGUUAAUACUUUUGGUUAGGUUUCUCAUUUGGUAACAAGGAAAGUAAUCACCAUGUGGCAUUUUCAGCCUUUUUCAACACAUACUAAGUACUUACUAAGUACCCGAUAUUAUUCUAAGUAUGAACAAGGCCCUGUCCUUAAGAUACAUUCUUUUUUGUGAGGUAGGAUAAAUGGCUAAAUACUAAAUGUAUUAUAAAUGUUAUAUUGGAUCCCCUUUUUAAAAAUUUCUUUGUCUAUUUUGAUUUUUCAAGAAAGGGUUUCUCUGUAGCUCUGGCUAUCCUGAAAUUAACUCUGGAUUAGGCUGUCCUAGAACUCAGAGAUCAGUAUGCCUCUGUUUCCGUAGUGCUGGGAUAAAAGCCAUGCACUACCACCCAGCAGGAUUUUCCCCUCUAUGAUAUGAAAUUGCAUUGAAUGAAGUUAGGCAAGCAGAGUGGCAUUAAACCCAGCAGGAUUGAGGUAGGAAGAUUACCAGUUUGAGGCCAUCAUUGGCUACAGUAACAAGAAAAUUGAGUUAAACCAAACAGUAUCUCGUGUUUUCCUCUCUUCUUUCCACUUGUUUGUUUGUUUGUUUGUUUCUUUUUAAAGAUUUGACAUGAUUUCUGUAUCCCAGGUUAACCUGGAACUUUAGUCCACCAUGGUUUCAAAGUUGGCAAUCCCUUAACUACUUCCUCCUGAGUGCUAGGAUUACAGGUAUUCACCAGCCCAUCUCAGCCACUAUUAAUACCUGCCAUUGCCUCUUUAUGAAAUGAUGGCCAGUCUAGCUGAGUGUGGGAAAUUGUGGAUAGUGGCUGACUAUCUUUUUGUUGCUCUUCUUUUGGCUAGACUCAAACCCAGGAUCAUGGACAUACUAAACAAUUGCUCUAGCACUGAACUGUAUCUCUGCCUCUGGGGAAGGUAUCUUUAAAAAAAGGUUGUAGAGUUUGCCAGAUCCUAUGAGUGACCUCAAAAGAGAAGAGGAGGGUUCUCCCCUCAGUGAUAAAGAAUUCUGAGGAGUUAAUGCUUCCAUGAAUAUCUCAGAAGGAGACAUGGACAAAGGAACAGGUAUCUCACUCCAAUAGAUGAAAUCUUAAAAUGAGUUGCCCAGCGGGCUGGAGAGAUGGCUCAGAGCUUGGGAGCUCUGACUGCUCUUCCAGAGGUCCUGAGUUCGAUUCCCAACAACCACAUGGUGGCUCACAACCAUCUGUGAUGAGAUCUGGUGCCCUCUUCUGGUUGGACCACAGUGAUCUUUGAUUAAAAGUUUCAUCAUUUCAAUCUGGGGUCUGCUGUUAUGAUGUGUUUCAGCAAUUUCUCUUCCUCACACUGCUCAGAACUGGAUGUGUGAAAAGCUGCAUUGUGAAUAAAAACUCAGUGUGUGUUGGGAGUAGAGUCCUUGUUGCUAUCUGGAUGUAACAACAGCAGUGACACACAAAGCCAAUGCAGAGGAAGGUGUUGCUCAUCAAUGGGUCCAGUACCUGAGGAACAAGAGAACCAACAGGAAGUGGACAGCAGUGUGACCUUUUGAGAGAAGACUUGAGCAAAAAGGGGUUGCCUUCCCAGAAAACCACCAUUUAUCCUAAUGGACCAUGGAGGAAUGUUAGACGGAGAAACUUCAAAUCUUGGUCAUCUCUGGAGUUACUCAACAACACCCACCCCCAACUCGACACUGCAGGCUUCUCAGUCCCAAAAGUACUGUGGCUACUACUGGCUAGAGCUGGCUGCUUAAGCUCACCUUGGGCUCUGAGCCACUUUUUUGCUGCUUCACUUUUGAUUUGGGGUUUCCAUUUCUUUUGGAGCCAGAGAAGACCUCCACAUCCAGGGCCCUUCCAACAAGGCUGCGGUGUGCACCUCCUACGAUGGGAAUCUCUACCCAAGAUCCUUGGUCUCAGAGAGAGCUAUACAUUGUGUACCAAGUUGUAAGAAAUAG